CUUUUGAGUCACCAGUGACAAGUGUCCCGUGGCUUGGUGCAUGGCGUUGGCUCUCUUUGCAGAGGUGGAAUUGUGCCCCCGUCUUGAAGCCCCCAGUACCUCAAAAUGUGACUAUACUUGGAGAUAGAACCUUUUAAAAGGUCAUGGAAGUAAAAUGAGGUCAUUUGGAUGGGCCCCAGUCCAACAGGACUCAUGUCCUUUAAGAAGAGAUUAGGGCACAGAUACACACAGCAGAAAGACCACGUGAGGACACAGCCACAGUACAGCCACCUCCUAGCCAAAGGACGACCUCAGAAUACACCAGCCCUGCCGACACCUCAAUCCUGGACUUUCAGCCUCCACGACUAUGAGAAGGGUUUCACUGUCGCACAGACUGGAGUGAGUGGCACGAUCUUG
rnacentral:lncRNA from 1 species